AUGCAGAAUAUCUGGCGUCAUGUAUGCUACUUUCUGCCACUGAAAGAUGCUGCGCGUGCUACUUGUGUUUCCCGCGCGUUUCGAAGUUCGUGGAGGUGCCAUCCCAACCUCACCUUCAGUAAGAGAAAAAUAACAGGAGAUUACAACAGCAGAAUUGACCAUUUUCUGGCAAACCACUCAGGCACCGGUGUGAAGACACUCAGCCUUUUGUUCUAUGGUCCUUACAGUGCCAACACCAGCUAUUGUCUUGAUGGCUGGCUUCAGAUUGCUGUCGCACCAGGCAUUGAAGAACUUAGCCUUACACUAUUUUCAGACAGUGACCAGUUAUUAGACAAGGCAAAAUACAACUUCCCGUGCUCACUUUUAUCCGAUGGGCGUGGAAACUCCAUUCGUGAGCUCAAGCUUGUAGGUUGCGCCUUCCGCCCUACGGUAGGGAUCGGUUGCACGAGAAGCCUGACAAAUCUAUCUCUGUGUUUUGUGCAUAUUACCGGGGAUGAGCUGGGGUUCCUUCUUUCCAAAUCUCUUGCUUUGGAGCGACUGGAUCUCAACAGUUGCAGCGAGAUAGCUUCCCUAAAGAUACCUUCCCUGCUGCAGCGCCUCAGCUAUCUGAAGGUGUCCCAGUGUUCCAUGCUGCAAGUGAUUGAAAGCAAAGCUCCAAAUAUCUCCAGUUUUCACUUUGUUGGUGAUCAACAAGUACAGCUAUUUCUUGGAGAAUCAUCGCAGGUGAAGGAAAUUUUCAUAUCACAUUCCUGUGCUCUUCAUUAUGCUCGCGCCAUGCUCCCGUCCACUACGCCAAAUCUCGAAACUCUUGAUAUAUUUUCGACUGGUGAGAUGGUCAGUACACCAAUGCUACCAAGCAAAUUCCUCCACCUCAAAACUAUUACAAUAUCUGGAUGGAUCUUCAGCACGACCUACAAUCUUUUCUCGCUGGUUUCGUUUCUUGACGCGUCUCCUUGCUUGGAGACUUUUAACCUACAUACACGAAUAGGAAGCCAGAACCAUGACUUAAUCUUUGAAGAUCCCUCACAUUUGGGGAGGAUUCCAGGACACUGCUAUGACAAUCUAAGGCGUGUGAAGAUCACUAGGUUCUUCUCCACAAAGCUUCUGGUUGAGCUCACAUGCCAUAUUCUUGAGAAUGCACCAUCACUCGAGUGCCUCACACUGGACAUAACUGAUGGUGGGUUAAAGUGUUCUGACAAAAGAAUUCGCAAAUGCUAUAUGAGCAAGGCUACUCUUGUGGAAGCCCCUAAAGCACUUGAGGCUAUCCAAACUCAUAUCGCAGGAAAAGUCCUCUCCACGACUAAGUUAAAUAUCUUGGAGCCUUGCAGCCGAUGUAAUGCUAUUAACAUUUAG
rnacentral:rRNA from 1 species